GUAAAAGCGAUGAAGAGGACAGUAGAGCAUUGCCACCGGAAGCAGAGAAUACCCGCCGCGGCUGAAAGCGGGUAAUGCCGGAAGUUGCUCGAACACCACCUCGGAGCUUGCAGCCGAACUUACAGUAAGCUGGCAGGUGACCCGGCCUUAACGGGUAGAGUGGACCGGCUAGGCGAUUAAUUUCAGCCAAUAUUUUUGAAAUUUAAAUGCCGGUCAACUUGGGUGGAACCGCGAGAUACUCUCGUCCCUUGU
rnacentral:ncRNA from 1 species